AGGAUUAAGGAAACCGGCGCACGGGUGCGUAACGCGUAUGCAACUUGCCCUUAUCAGGAGGAUAGCCCGGGGAAACUCGGAUUAAUACUCCAUAAGAUUUUGAUUGGCAUCGAUUAAAAUUGAAAGAUUUAUUGGAUAAGGAUAGGCAUGCGUCAGAUUAGUUAGUUGGUAGUGUAACGGACUACCAAGGCGAUGAUCUGUAGGGGGCCUGAGAGGGUGAACCCCCACACUGGUACUGAGACACGGACCAGACUCCUACGGGAGGCAGCAGUGAGGAAUAUUGGACAAUGGAGGGAACUCUGAUCCAGCCAUCCCGCGUGCAGGAAGACGGCCCUAUGGGUUGUAAACUGCUUUUGUAUGGGGAUAAAUCUACUUACGUGUAGGUAGUUGAAGGUACCAUACGAAUAAGCAUCGGCUAACUCCGUGCCAGCAGCCGCGGUAAUACGGAGGAUGCAAGCGUUAUCCGGAUUCAUUGGGUUUAAAGGGUCCGUAGGCGGGCUGAUAAGUCAGUGGUGAAAUUUUGUCGCUCAACGAUAAAACUGCCAUUGAUACUGUUAGUCUUGAGUGAUAUUGAAGUAGCUGGAAUGUGUAGUGUAGCGGUGAAAUGCAUAGAUAUUACACAGAACACCGAUUGCGAAGGCAGGUUACUAAGUAUUAACUGACGCUGAAGGACGAAAGCGUGGGGAGCGAACAGGAUUAGAUACCCUGGUAGUCCACGCA
rnacentral:rRNA from 1 species